rnacentral:rRNA from 1 species
CACUGAGGCGCGAAAGCGUGGGGAGCAAACAGGCAUUAGAUUGGGCUGGUAGUCCACGCCGUAAACGAUGAGUGCUAAGUGUUAGAGGGUUUCCGCCCUUUAGUGCUGAAGUUAACGCAUUAAGCACUCCGCCUGGGGAGUACGGCCGCAAGGCUGAAACUCAAAGGAAUUGACGGGGGCCCGCACAAGCGGUGGAGCAUGUGGUUUAAUUCUGAGCAACGCGAAGAACCUUACCAGGUCUUGACAUCCUCUGACAACCCUAGAGAUAGGGCUUCUCCUUCGGGAGCAGAGUGACAGGUGGUGCAUGGUUGUCGUCAGCUCGUGUCGUGAGAUGUUGGGUUAAGUCCCGCAACGAGCGCAACCCUUGAUCUUAGUUGCCAUCAUUUAGUUGGGCACUCUAAGGUGACUGCCGGUGACAAACCGGAGGAAGGUGGGGAUGACGUCAAAUCAUCAUGCCCCUUAUGACCUGGGCUACACACGUGCUACAAUGGACGGUACAAAGAGCUGCAAGACCGCGAGGUGGAGCUAAUCUCAUAAAACCGUUCUCAGUUCGGAUUGUAGGCUGCAACUCGCCUACAUGAAGCUGGAAUCGCUA